GAUCCUGGCUCAGGAUAGAACGCUAGCUACAGGCUUAACACAUGCAAGUCGAGGGGCAUCAGUUUGGUUUGCUUGCAAACCAAAGCUGGCGACCGGCGCACGGGUGAGUAACACGUAUCCAACCUGCCUCAUACUCGGGGAUAAGCCUUUCGAAAGAAAGAUUAAUAUCCGAUAGCAUAUAUUUCCCGCAUGGGUUUUAUAUUAAAGAAAUUCGGUAUGAGAUGGGGAUGCGUUCCAUUAGUUUGUUGGG
rnacentral:rRNA from 1 species